rnacentral:tRNA from 1 species
GCUCCGGUAGUGUAGCACGGCCAAUCAUGCAGGACUCUCAAUCCUGCGACCCGGGUUCAAAUCCCGGCCGGAGCA